ACCUUUUUCCCUUGGCCAACAAACCAUCUUAAUUCAUUCAAGUGUACCCCUUGAUUAUUCUCCAUCUAGGCCUCUCUCUCUCUCUCUCUCUCUCUCUCUCUCUCUCUCUCUAUAUAUAUAUAUAUAUAUAUGUAUGUAUGUAUAGUAGUUGUUUUUAAGAGAAGAAAAUCAUACACGCAUUCCUCAAAUUCAACAAGGUUGUGCAAAUGUGGGUUGUGUGAAUGACCCAAUUGCAGAAAACCUCCAACAACGACGACCCAUUUUCUUCUGUUGGCCUUCUUGGCAAAUCUCUCAUAUUUCCUAAAUCACAAACACGACCGAAAAACACUACCAAGUGGCCUUACCUGUACCAUGACAUUUUCUGAGUCUUCAACAACAAUAAAAAAGCCAAAAUGUCUGGCAAAUUAACACCACCUUCGUGAAUCCCGCCCACCCUUUCCCUCUCUCUAUAUCUUUCCACCACCACUCCAAAGUCUUUUCUUGUGGGUCGGUGGUGGAUUUUAAAUUUUCUCGAGAAAAUGUAUGUUAUGGGAAAAUCCAAAUCAGUUUUGAUUGUGACAGGGAGAGCCAUUAACGAGGUCUUGAGCUUCGUCAUUUUCUCACUCCUGGACGUUCUUGAUUUCAUCCUCUGUUACGUAUACAGAGUCGCUGAUUUCUUCAUCGAAGCCGAAUGGAAGCCCUGUUACUGCUCUCCGGCCAAAGAAGCGAUCACGAGCAGUGGAAACAUUUUGGUCUCCGAACAAGGGGAGUCUAAGAUCGUGUGCCUCAGCUCCAGCAGGUUGCAGCUGGAGGACAUCUCGGACACCCUCUUCACUCGUCCGUCGUUGGUCUCAGAGGUGUCGAAAUCUACGGUUAACGAGCUCAAGAGGUUGAAGCUGGAAGGCACCGUGAUACAAUCUUCUUGGGAGAAGAUCAAGAGAUCCGGGAAGGUCCGGUCGACGUUCACUGUUAACUCGACCAUCGUCGAGAUGCUACAUGGCAGGAUCAGAGGGGAUCAGUCUCAUCCCGUACCGAGGUGGUCCGAUUGCGAUUGCAAAACUUGCACUUCUUGGACCUCUUCUUCGAAAGAAACUCUAUUCGUCCUUGCUGACGGAGCCAAAGAGAACAAGCAAGAGGAUGUGCUGUUCAUUCACGGCUUCAUCUCAUCGUCUGCGUUUUGGACCGAGACCCUGUUCCCGAAUUUCUCCAAAUCUGCUAAAUCAAAGUACCGGCUAUUCGCGAUCGAUCUCUUAGGAUUCGGGAGGAGUCCCAAGCCAACUGACUCACUUUACACGUUGAGGGAGCAUUUGGAGAUGAUCGAACGCUCCGUUCUCGAGCCGAACAAAGUCAAAUCGUUCCACAUUGUCGCGCAUUCGUUAGGUUGCAUUCUGGCCCUAGCGCUCGCGGUCAAGUAUCCGGGGUUGGUGAAAUCGCUAACCUUGCUUGCACCGCCGUAUUUUCCGGUACCGAAGGGUGAACAAGGCACGCAGUAUUUGAUGAGAAAGUUGGCGCCGAGGCGUGUGUGGCCGCUGAUUGCGUUUGGGGCGUCCAUGGCCGCUUGGUACGAGCACAUUAGCCGGACCAUUUGCUUCCUUAUUUGCAAGAACCACCGCCUGUGGGGAUUUCUCACCAAACUUAUCACCAGAAACAGGUACGUACUAAUAAAUGCGACCACAUGUUUCGUACUCUCUCUCUCACUAAAUUACUCCAAUCAAUUCAUCAUUUUUCUUUCAAUAGAUUAACAUUAGCGAAUACUGCAAGGACACCAAGCUUGUCUGCAGUUUUCCGGGGAAAAGUUUAAUUUUCUUUCGGAAAAGUUUUUUAAAACUUAAACCAUUAGAUGCAAAGAUAAAAGGUUGUAAGUGAACCGCAGGAGCUCUCUGCAGUCCAGAGAAUCCGCCUCCUUUUAAUGUUAGUUAGUUACUACUCCCUCCGUCCUUUUUUUUGUGUCCAGUAUUUUAUUUUGGGCUGUCCCUUAAUAAGUGUUCAUUUUGUAAAGUUAGAGGGAUAAAAGUUGGUGUAUUGUCUAUUUUAUCCCUCAAAGUAGAUUUUAUUUUGAAAAGUUAGUGAGUAAAAGUGUAAUGAUGAUGGGUAAGUAGGGAAAGUAGAGAAAAAAGUUGAUGUGAAAGAUGUAAUGAUGAUGUCUUUUUAAUAAGUUGGAGUUACAAAAUAGGACAUUUAAAAAGGGACGGAGGGAGUAUAUUACUGCAAGAAGUUUCAAUUCUGCUCUAUCGGUUUCGAAAGUAAACGCCACAACACUUAAUUGGUGGUACACACUAUGCGCUGAUCACCCUUAAACCAAUCUUAAUAAAGUUUUGUACUUUGUACGAAUUAAGAUGGGCUCCACUUCCCUCCUGAGUAUUACUAGUCCAUGAAUUGUCAGGCCAGGGAUGUACCCUGUCCAACAUGUCUAUUCCAUAGAGGUUUGUUCAGGAGAGAAUUUGUACUGUAGUAGUUAUGUACAUGUAAAUGGUGAUCAUAGUUCCUGGUUGGUUGUUUUUUUUUUUGAAUAUGGUUCCUGGUUGGUUGUUGAGUACAAUGAUAGAGGGUACUACAUUCAAACCUAAGUCCCUCAACUAUACCUGUUCAUGUGCCCCCAUCACCCUUUGUGUUGAAAUGAUCUUUAAGAAAAUAAUGCAGGCAAAUUUUAGCACAUUCUGUCUUAUUUUCUCCGCUAAGAUUGUAAACGGGUUGGGGAUGGGCUAGGAGUUUGGUUUGUGAAGCUUGAUUCGGUUUGAUUUUCGCUUAAUUGAUUAUUCAGGUUCGACCAAGACGAAAAUAAUAAUUAGGUUCGACCAAGACGAAAAUACUAAAAGUAAUUUGUUAUGUGUACCAUAGCUAAUAAAUACUUGCUGCAUCCCAACAAUCGAUUAAUUUGUAACCCUUUCAGAAACUAGUGAGUAGUGAAUGUACUACGGUACAAAAUUGGAGAACCAAAAUUUUAUGACUUUUUUCUUGAUUGCUCUUCGCAUGUUGCGUGUUAUGAUUUGACCGAUUUCUUUAACUCUAGGCUGCUAAUAAUACACUUAGGCUCCUGGUGUUUUUGGCAACCAAAAAGGCUGUGUUGAUCAGGGAGCAUAGUCUAGUCUACUGUUGUUGAGACUUUUUCUUGAAAAAGAUAGUGUCAAAAUUUAAUGUGGAUUCUUAAAUAGGCCUAGUAUUGUCGUACACUUUUUCAGGAUUUCUUGGUCAACAAAUUUUCAAAUUUCAAACCAAACGUAAUAAUUUCUUGUGGACAAUGACUCCUAUCUACUACUCUCUUACAAUCCCUGCUAUUUAUUUAAUGUUAGCUUCGGAAAAAAAAAAAUCAUUUUCAGGAUCAGGACCUACUUGGUGGAAGGAUUCUGUUGUCACACCCACAAUGCCGCAUGGCAUACCCUACACAACAUCUUAUGUGGUACCGCCGGGAAAAUCGACGGGUAUUUGGACGUCGUUCGCAACCGUCUGAAAUGCAGCGUCACCAUAUACCAUGGCCGAGACGACGAACUCAUCCCCGUGGAAUGUAGCUACAAUGUUAAAUCGAGAAUUCCUCGUGCCAAGGUUAAGGUGUUCGAGAAAAAAGAUCAUAUUACCAUUGUUGUGGGAAGACAGGAGGAUUUUGCCAGAGAGCUGGAGGAAAUCUGGAAGACUUCAAGCCUGUAAUUAAUUUACACCCCUUUUUUAUCUGGACCAUUGGAAUGCCUAACGGACGGUUCUGAUGGUUGCACAGCACAGUGUUGUGCACCCCCUGCACAACACCCACCCUGUUUAUUUAUAUCCUAUAGACAGAAUAUGUGAAGCGACAGCAAACCACCAUAAAGUCUUAUCCAACCAAAAUAUGCAUAGAGAUAAUAUGGAAAUUGGCUAGUUUUAUGUCCUUUUUUCUUCAUCAAGUUUGAAGCUUUUUAAUUAGGCUUUUGUGAAAUAUUACCCAUUAUUGCUGUUGAGGUGUCAAUGCUUCUUCACACAUCCAAAUGAAUAUUAAAAUUAUAUAUAUGCUUUGGCCAUGGAAUAUAUGCACAAUAAAUUGCUGGUUUUUUAAUCA